UACAGAGGUCCCAAGCGUUGUUCGGAUUCACUGGGCGUAAAGGGCGCGUAGGCGGGAUGGCAAGUCGGUCGUGAAAUCCCUCGGCUCAACCGAGGAACGUCGAUCGAUACUGCGGUGCUUGAGGACUGGAGAGGAGACUGGAAUUCAUGGUGUAGCAGUGAAAUGCGUAGAGAUCAUGAGGAAGACCAGUGGCGAAGGCGGGUCUCUGGACAGUUCCUGACACUGAGACACGAAGGCCAGGGGAGCAAACGGG
rnacentral:rRNA from 1 species